rnacentral:rRNA from 1 species
GAUGAACGCUGGCGGCGUGCUUAACACAUGCAAGUCGAACGAAGCACUUUAUUUGAUUUCCUUCGGGACUGAUUAUUUUGUGACUGAGUGGCGGACGGGUGAGUAACGCGUGGGUAACCUGCCUUGUACAGGGGGAUAACAGUUGGAAACGGCUGCUAAUACCGCAUAAGCGCACAGCAUCGCAUGAUGCAGUGUGAAAAACUCCGGUGGUAUAAGAUGGACCCGCGUUGGAUUAGCUAGUUGGUGAGGUAACGGCCCACCAAGGCGACGAUCCAUAGCCGACCUGAGAGGGUGACCGGCCACAUUGGGACUGAGACACGACCCAAACUCCUACGGGAGGCAGCAGUGGGGAAAAUUGCACAAUGGGCGAAAGCCUGAUGCAGCGACGCCGCGGGAGCGAAGAAGUAUUUCGGUAGGUAAAGCUCUAUCAGCAGGGAAGAUAAGGACGGGACCGGACUAAGAAGCACGGGCUAAAUACGU